rnacentral:lncRNA from 1 species
GUCGUGAGGAUAUAUGUUCCAAGUGAAUUGUUAAUACCUAAUUAAUUUAUCAAGCAGUAUACUUAAUGAGUUUUACACACAAUAACGAUGUCGUUUGGGACUUUAUCUGUGUGGACAACAACAUUUUUGGACAAGUGUUUCGCAACAUUUGGGUAAUUAAAUCUUGACGUAGCAUGGGUAUUGAUGGACUCAUUCAGUUUCUUAAUUCUAAUUUGAAUCAACGACCUCAAAGCCUUAAUCCAUUUGGAAAAAGUAUCUACGUCUUCGUUCGCACGCUUAGCCCAUUGUCUGGCAUAAUCGUCGACUGAAUCGAUCAUUAUUUUGACAUUGCAUUUCCAAUUGAUGGAUUUAGGCUCACGAUAUUUCGCAACAUAUCUGAUAUCAUAUGUGAAAAGGUUGUUCCAUAAGGG